GGCACCACAACCACUAUCACCAUUAUUACCAACACCACUGGUGCGGGUGCGGGCUGAUAUGCACUGAAUUUAGAAGAAGAGCCCGUACCCCUACAAGGUACGGGCUUUUUUU
rnacentral:sRNA from 1 species